rnacentral:rRNA from 1 species
GCUUAACACAUGCAAGUCGAGCGCACUCUUCGGAGUGAGCGGCGGACGGGUUAGUAACGCGUGGGAACGUACCCAGAUCUACGGAAUAGCCUCGGGAAACUGAGAGUAAUACCGUAUACGCCCUUCGGGGGAAAGAUUUAUCGGAUUUGGAUCGGCCCGCGUUAGAUUAGAUAGUUGGUGAGGUAACGGCUCACCAAGUCUACGAUCUAUAGCUGGUUUUAGAGGAUGAUCAGCAACACUGGGACUGAGACACGGCCCAGACUCCUACGGGAGGCAGCAGUGGGGAAUCUUGGACAAUGGGCGCAAGCCUGAUCCAGCCAUGCCGCGUGAGUGAUGAAGGCCUUAGGGUCGUAAAGCUCUUUCGCCAGAGAUGAUAAUGACAGUAUCUGGUAAAGAAACCCCGGCUAACUCCGUGCCANCCGCCNCGGUAAUA